rfam:Beta vulgaris subsp. vulgaris Bvchr6.sca028.con0171.1, whole genome shotgun sequence.
AUGUUUCCUAGAGUUCCCUCCAAACACUUCUUUAGGGCAACACAUGCAGCUUUAACUAGCUAGAAAUCUGCCCUAUUUGAAGUGUUUGGGGGAACUCCUGGAUAUAU